rnacentral:lncRNA from 1 species
AUUGAAUCGCGCACGAACGGCUUCGAUUGAAUCGCUAUGAACGGUCCAGAUUCAUUCCCUAUUUAAUCACGAUCAGACGGUUCAGAUUAAAAGCGAUGGACGGCUCAGAUCAAAAGCGAAUGGGUAUAAAUAACCUUAUCCGCACCCAAACUCUAACUCUAGCCACCAGAGCCCCUCGCUGGAAAAGACAGCCAAGUCGUUGGGGAG